rnacentral:pre_miRNA from 1 species
UUCGGUGAAACUCGUGUGGGUCUCACGCUUUAGAAAUGAAACCCACAUAAAGUGAUGAGACCCACAUGACUUUCACUCAA